GCUGAGCACGGUGGUGCAUGUCUGUAGUCCCAGCUACUUGGGAGGCUGAGGUGGGAGAAUCGCUUGAGUCCAGGAGUUCUGGGCUGUAGCGCGAUAUUUUGAUCGGGUGUCACACUAAGUUCAGCAUCGAUAUGGUGACCUCCCAGGAGCAGGGGGAACCACAAGGUUGCCUAAGGAGGGGUGAACUGGCCCAGGUUGGAAAUGGAGCAGGUCAAAACUCCUGUGCUGAUCACUAGUGGGGUCUCACCUGUGAAUAGCCACUGCACUCCAGCCUGGGCUACGUAGUGAGACCCUCUCA
rnacentral:SRP_RNA from 1 species